ensembl:lncRNA
CUUGUGUCUAUAAAAUGAGCUGCUCGUUAUGUGUAGAUAAUCCUUUCUACUGCAGCUUUUUUGAAAGAUAUAAUGUUAGCCAUGGAGAACUGCAAAUAUGUUGCUACUGCUCUCAAUAACAUUGCUGCCCUGAAUAUAUCAGGUGCUACCAGAAAAAAUUCAGUGGGGAAAAGUUCUGAUGGACAGCUUUCUGGAGGAUGAUUGUGCCAUGCUGACUCUCUCUGACUCUGAAAAUGAAUCAGACGAUGAGGAAAUCCUUGAUUUGGGUAAAAACAUUUUCAUUGAAGAAGACAUUGUAGAGUCUUCUGAUGACAGUGAUGGGGAAGAAACGGUGAUCAACAGUGUUGUUGUCCCGGAAGAAGUUGACAGAGUUUUGAAAUCAGUGGAAUGUCUGUGCAAACUAAACGGAAACAACACAGGAAAUCUUAUUUUAUGAAAUGGGUUGCAGUCUGCCAUGAAGCUUUCAUCCAUGUAUACAGCAUCAGUAGAACAUGCGUGACUCUCCUCCACCAGUCAUACAAGAUGAAUGGUCCUAUGCCUCCCAUCAAAAAGAGAGCUUGCCCAGGCAAGCACAGGUUACACCUGAAGCAUGACGAGUUGCAGCGAGUGGUGAACUUCAUCAACAACUAUGCAGAGGAUAAUGCAAUAGGAUGCCACCCAGGACACAAACACUUAGGUGGAAAGCUGCUGCCAUCCCAUGUGACAAAAGCAGCAGUGUGGAGUUUCUACAAUUAAUCAAUGCCAGCACUUGUGAUGAAUCUGAGAAGAAAAUUACUGCCCACAUCUCAAGCACUAAGAUCAGGACAGACCUGUGCUGGCAGUGCCAGGAGGAACAACCAUCAGGUCUUAAGAUCUGCCAAUCUGCCAGAAGCUGUUAAGUCAGCCAAAGUGAAGAAGCAAGAGCAGCAUCUCCUGCUUGUUCAGAGUGCACUAUCCUUCUGACCCUAUGCAGCCCACGUCCCAUCUACUGUUUAACUCCUUGCAAGUGUGGCUUGUUUGGUGUCUGCUGUGAAGGAAUACCACAGCAAACAACUACAGGAUUGAUGAAGGCUUUUCAUCCAGCAAAGGCAACAGCACAGUCAUCAACUACAUGCACCAUUUCUUUACCAACUACGGAGUUGAGGAAACACAUGUGGACCUGGAUUGAUUGUGAUAACAGCAGUGACCAAAACAAGAACAAGUUUGUGCUCGUGUAUUGUGCGGACCAUGCACAGUCUAGACCAAGUCCACACCAAGUUUGCCCCCGACUGUUGCUCCAGCCUCAUCAAGCAGGGCUUCAGAAAGACCAGAGUGAACACUUGUUCUGAGAUUGCUGGUGUUGUGAAGGACAGCACUAUGACAGGGGUCAACAUCCCACAGCUGGUUGGACUGGAGGAUGGUACGGUGCUGGUGGAAAGCUAUGGCUGGCAUCAACACCUGACUCCGUACUUCAGGCCGCUGCCACAGAUCAAGCAGUACCAGCACUUCAGCUUUUAAGCUCUGGAGCCUUGGUGUUGUUGCUUCCAAAGAGUGUUCGGACUCAGUCAGGAACAGAUUUCAACUGCUGUGCAACACUGACAUGCUUCCUCCAUAGAUGGUCGGCCUGUACAAGCACCACCUGGACUGGACACAGCUAGAAAAGCGUAUAUUUUUCAGAAGAUCAGGGAGUUUUGCAGCGAAGAGGCUAUGGACUUCACAUGCCCUGCACCAAAGUUAAGGGCAGGACAGAAACAGGCUCUCUGAAUGUAGAUUACCUUGUUCAUGUGUGGUUCAGAAGGACCAGUCAUCAGCAAUAUCUGCAAUGCCUCUAUUCAAGUGACUCUCUCCAAACACAUAUGGCUGCUACUAUUUUUUUGAUCCUGCUGCUCAGCCAAUUUACCCCAGAUUGUAUGCAAAUAACAACCUCGUCUAUCACUGAUAUCGUUAUUGAUAUUGUUCUUGUUCCUACUGUACAUUUUAUUUAUAUUGACUCUAUCUCUGAUAUUGCUACUAUGCACGUAACCAUUUGGCUGUACCGUUUACACUUUCUAUUGAGACCCAUCUACUUAGCAAGAUGUGGCCAGUGGUGUAAAAGUACUUAAGUAAAAAUACUUUAAAGUACUAAAGUAUUUUUUGCGGGUAUCUGUACUUUACUAUUUAUAUUUUUGGCAACUUUUACUUCACUUUAAAGAAAAUAACGUAUUUUUUACUCCAUACAUUUUUCUUGACACCCAAAAAUUCAAAAAUUACAUUUUGACAGGAAAAUUCACACACUAAUCAAGGGAACAUCCCUGGUCAUCCCUACUGCAUCUGAUCUGGCAGACUCACUAAACACAAAUGCUUUGUUUGUAAAUUAUGUCUGAUUGUUGGUGUGCCCCUGGCUUUCCUUCAAUAAAAACAUUUUUUUAAACAA